UUCGCGGCCGGUUGUUAUUUUAUCACGCUUAGUAAAAUUCUCACAAAAUGUUUAAUAUACAUGGUUUGUUUAGUUAAAAGUAUUAAGAAAAGUGUUUUAGUUUGUGCAUUUUAUUAAAGUUUAAUGAAAUUUGUGGAAUAAAUAGUGAAAUUAUGUGUGGAAUCCUCGUGUUAAAAUUCUCGGCAGAAUUUAUUAUGUUGUUGUGUCUUGUGCUUUAUAGCAAUGUCAUUGAUGGCUUGCAGCAAGUGUUUUUUUGUUGUUAUUGUUGUAGAAAGUAAAUAACAAAACACUGAAGAAAAAAAAGAAGAAAAUAACAUGUUUGUAAUGAAAAAAUAUAAAAGAUAAAUAAAAUAAAUAAUAAUAAAUAUAAUUUUAAUUGAUAAAAAUGAAAAAACUCAAUGCUAUACAUUUAGGAAUGCUGCAAAAAAGACACAUCACAAUCAUUAAAAAAAUAGUUGAUGAUCAUUGAUUAAAAAUGUUUCCGGUGCGUUCGAAGUUGGAGUAAUCAGCUGAUGCUGUGAACAUUUAAGCUUACAAGCCGAUUUGGAGAAGCUUUUAUAACUUUUACCUAUAAUAGAAGCUAUAUUCGACAUUGAUGUUCUGUUCAAAAAUAUUUUUUCAGUUUCAACAUUUCCGUGGAAUUAUAUACAUUUUUACAGGAUCAAAAAAGUUGCAUAUGUAUUAAGGAAACCGCUAAUGUAAUAACACGUAAUAAAUUAACUCUUUUAAUUUAAAGGAGACCAAAACCCUACGGAUUUUUAAACACUUUUAUAUAAUAACAAAAAUAUUGAAAUUUAUUUAUUUAAAAACUUUUUAUUACUGUAUACUUGGUUAAAAGUAGUUUCCUAUUUAUAUUAAUAAAUUUCAAUUAUAAAUUUAAAUUAUAUUUAUGAAUGAACAUUUUAAAUUUAUUUUAAUAGUUAGUUAACAAUCAAUAAUAAUUGAAAGAUUUUAUUCAUU